rnacentral:rRNA from 1 species
CACGUAGGGCGCAAGCGUUGUCCGGAAUUAUUGGGCGUAAAGAGCUCGUAGCGGUCUGUUGCGUCCGCUGUGAAAACUCGGGGCUUAACCCCGAGCCUGCAGUGGAUACGGGCAGACUAGAGGUAGGUAGGGGAGAAUGGAAUUCCCGGUGUAGCGGUGAAAUGCGCAGAUAUCGGGAGGAACACCGGUGGCGAAGGCGGUUCUCUGGGCCUUACCUGACGCUGAGGAGCGAAGCGUGGGAGCGAACGGAUAGAA